rnacentral:tRNA from 1 species
AGAUAUUUUAACUAAACCCAAGUAUAUACUUUGAAAGUAUAAAAUAGGAUCUUCCUAAAUAUCUA